UACGAAGGGGGCUAGCGUUGCUCGGAAUUACUGGGCGUAAAGCGCACGUAGGCGGUCUUUUAAGUCGGGGGUGAAAUCCUGGAGCUCAACUCCAGAGCUGCCUUUGAUACUGGCAAGCUCGAGUCCGGAAGAGGUAAGUGGAACUCCUAGUGUAGAGGUGGAAUUCGUAGAUAUUAGGAAGAACACCAGUGGCGAAGGCGGCUUACUGGUCCGGAACUGACGCUGAGGUGCGAAAGCGUGGGGAGCAAACAGG
rnacentral:rRNA from 1 species